rnacentral:rRNA from 1 species
AUUGAACGCUGGCGGCAGGCCUAACACAUGCAAGUCGAGCGAGCGGCGGACAGGUGUGUAAUGUCUCUGAAACUGCCCGAUGGAGGGGGAUAAAUACUGUAAACGGUAGCUAAUAUCCCAUACCAUCAGAUGUGCCCCCAUGGGAUUAGCUAGUAGGUGGGGUAACGGCUCACCCAGGCGACGAUCCCUAGCUGGUCUGAGAGGAUGACCAGCCACACUGGAACUGAGACACGGUCCAGACUCCUACGGGAGGCAGCAGUGGGGAAUAUUGCACAAUGGGCGCAAGCCUGAUGCAGCCAUGCCGCGUGUGUGAAGAAGGCCUUCGGGUUGUAAAGCACUUUCAGCGGGGAGGCGUUACCCGCAGAAGAAGCACCGGCUAACUACGUGCCAGCAGCCGCGGUAAUAC